rnacentral:rRNA from 1 species
CAAUAGCAUAUAUUAAUGUUGCUGCAGUUAAAAAGCUCGUAGUUGGAUAUGUGGGUGUAAGAGUGUCUGUCAGGGCACUUUUAUCAACCCAUCCACAAGAUGCAGUUUCUUUGGCAUUAGGUUGUUAGAGAGGUUGGAUUUGUAUUGUACUGUGAAGAAAGUAGAGUGCUCUACACAGGUGAUAGCUGUUGGAUAAAAUAGCAUGGAAUACUGGAGUAAGACAGUGAUGUUAGUUGUUGGUUUGUGCAUUGUUGUAAUGGUUAACAGGGCUAGUUGGGGGUAUAUGUAUUCCAUUGUAAGAGGUGAAAUUCUUGGAUUUCUGGAAGACGCACGACUGCGAAAGCAUUAGUUUCCGCACGAUAGCUUAAAAAGACUAGCGACCGUUUAUUUACCAUGGAUGUUUUCAUUAA